UUGUUCGACUUGGUACAAUAAAUGAAUUUGUUAUACCAGUAAAACAGGAAGGCCUCAUAUUCUCCCUUCCGCAGACUCGCCUCUCCUCGACCGGCAAAAUGGAGGAUAAGGGUGUUGUAGUUCAGGAAAUUCUUUUGCAAUUUCUAAACAUCGGUUUUUGAAGGCUUUUGACCUUCCUGACUCAAAGUCUCGACAGCCCGACCGUCGAACAACGCCAUGAGGUCAAGAUUGGAAGGGCAUCUGAUAAGGGUAGCGUGGAUCGGGAUGCUGGAAGGAGGUGUCCCAAUGAUAGUUUAGAUGUCAAGGAUGGUAGGAGUCAUAGGGCCGAAUGGAAUGACCAUGGUGUUAGUGGCCGAGCACUAGAGGCUAAGAGUUGCCAUGAGAAGCUCUUUAUCCAUUGUAAUCUCCAUGGUAGAGAGCUUGAUGGCGUCGUAAAGAUCGAGAGUUUUCCACUCCUUACCAAAAAAUCUUUCCAUUCAAAUGACCCAUGCCACCCAAUUCGCAUUGGGCGAAGGCCAGGAUCCUUAGGGUUUUGCCUGACACCACUUCAACCAAUAAAAUCCUUGCAACAAAUCUGCCAAACAGUGUUCUUUUAACAAGUUUGUGAUGGAUGACGGCACCGUAUCCUUAAAGAGUGGACCCAGAACUUGGUGAGUAGUGCUUGACUCACCCUCAAAAUGCAGAGUUUUGAUAGCAUGAUGAUCGGUGAAAUCCUUGCACUUGUUGCACUCAUAAGAGAGUUUUGAGACAAAGAAAGCCACUGAGGAAAGGUUAGAAAUUGCUGAGAUAAAAGGAUCGAAAUUUUUUAUUUUACAGCGGCAAGAAAACUUCAAGGGUUUUGAAAAGCGUAAGGUACGAAUGGGAGAAGUCCAGGUAUUUAUAGAUAUUUGGGAAUGAAAGGCUAAACGGUUGAUUUUCAAAAUCAAGGGUAGAAUCAAGCAAGAGUGAUACUAAUCAUUAUACAUGCUCAGAAAACUAAGGCAAAAGGAUCAAGAUUUUCACGAAUUGAGGACACACGAUGGUGUGUUACAGCGUUCAAAGUCAAGAGAGACGUUUCGACGGUUGCGUGUUUUCAAGGAUCAUGAUUGAAGAAUGCUAGGGUAACCAGGGGGUUAACACGUGACCACACAAUUUGGAAAUCAAGAUCGUGGGAUUACGUCUCAUAAGCACGCAUGGGGACGGUUCCUGAGAGUUGGUUUCACUUCUUCAAGGUCGAGGCAAUGUAGAUCGACGACCUCAGAAGUGAGGGGGCAAUGUUUAGGCCGAGUUUAGAUUCAUUCUCGGCCCAGAAGUCGUGUACAAGUGUUAUUGAUAUUUAGUCCAUGGGUCGCACGGUUAAAUUUGGCCAUACCAUAUAGGAAGUUGGAAUGUAGACGAAUCCUAUUUUGAAAAGGAGUUACGAUGGGAUCAGGAUAAUGAGAUUGAAUAAAGUUUGAUAACAAGUUACGUUCAAAGUCCUAUUAGGAAUAGGAUUGGCCGAGAUAAAAGAGUUUUAAUCCGAGAAGGAUUGGGAUUCAAUACAGGUUGGCCGCUAUAAAUAGAGAAGGUUGUGCAUCAUUCAAGCCCCCUUCAAUUCAACACACAACUGCCAUGUGCAAAUUCUCUCAACAACCUUGAGACUUUUUCUCUUUCUCUUUUCGCCGACACACUUUCAGUUUGAAUAAAUAGCACUGUGAAGGCAACCGGUGAUAUCUUCAGUCGGCAUAAAUAGCACUAUCACCGUAGAACCAGCCAAUCUCGCAGCAUCUUCAGUCGGCAUAGAUAGCACUGCGUCGAGGGUGACUG
rnacentral:lncRNA from 1 species